CAAGACCCCUAACAUCAACCUUAAGCUCUCUACAAGGGUUUCAAAUAAUACCAUCAUUCUGGGCACGAAAUCAAGAAGCAAUAACACUAGAACGAUCCCCACUGCACUGAGUUGAGUUGUUUGGAGAGUAGCUUGGGAGGUAUUAAAGACUCACCAUGGUUAAGGCUAUCAGCUCAGCGGAGGUGUUGGUGCACUCUACUUGUUCCGG